rnacentral:rRNA from 1 species
GAUGAACGCUAGCGGCAGGCUUAAUACAUGCAAGUCGAGGGGCAUCAAGGUACACGAAAGUGUAUUGUUGGCGACCGGCGGACGGGUGAGUAAUAGGUAGGUAACCUACCUCAUACUGAGGCAUAGCUGGGAGAAAUUCCAGGUAAUUCCUCAUGAGGUUAUAUGACACAUGUGAUAUAAUCAAAGGUAUCGCAAGGUACUGGUAUGAGAUGGGCUUACUGACCAUUAGCUAGUUGGUGAGAUAAGAGCUCACCAAGGCGAAGAUGGUUAGGGGUUUUGAGAGAGAGAUCCCCCACAUUGGAACUGAGAUACGGUCCAGACUCCUACGGGAGGCAGCAGUAGGGAAUAUUGGGCAAUGGGCGGAAGCCUGACCCCAGCCAUCGCCGCGUAGAAGGAAGACGGCCUUAGUGGGUUAUAAACUUCUUUACUAUGCGACUAACUAGAUUUACGAGUAUAAUUCUAAUAGAAUGUAGCAUAGACAAAAGCACCGGUA